AUGCGCCGGUUCUGAAACCAGACUUUGACCUGCCUUUCGGUGAGGUCCAGCAAGGCCGCGAUCUCGACGCGGCGUGGCCGGCACAGGGGCAAAGCAUUCAGAGCCGCCCACGGGCCACGCAGGGGGCGGAGAGCGGCUCCCUUCGGCGCCGGAACCUCAGAUCCCCCUCCCAAGCCCUCCCAGUGGACCCCUCAAUUCGGAACUUUCCAACUCAACCGGAGCGAGGGUUAGCGGCCAGGCCUGAACCCCAGUGGGAUAUUCUACUUCCCCAUCCCAGGAAUGGAGGGGGACUCCAGCGAAAUUACAGGGAAUUCGUGGUCACGGGACCGGCCUCCGCCAAUCGCUCGUCUGGGCCUGGUGGAAAACAGAGAGCAUUAUUUGGUUUAAUUGAUUCAAAAACACCAGAGGACCACGACCAGGACACCAUGAGCCCCCAUUCCUACACCAGUGCCUCACAUGCUCUCUCCCCAAUGCCUCCGUUUCUCCAGAAAAGCUAGAGGAACCUUUUCCUCAUCCCCUUCGAAGGAAAAGAUGAGUGAGGAUCUCCGCGUUGGAGGAAGAGGGAGUCGAAAGAGGCUUCCACUCUUUGAAAAAGGUCAGUAUUAAGGUGAAAAUAAGAAAGAGAUUUACAAUCAUCACACCACUAUCCCUGUUACCCUCCAAAAACAACAGUUAAAUCUUGGGAAAUGGACAGGAACUCCCAGGCAGACACAUAGGAGUGAGAUGGAGCAUAAGGGGCAUUUUUGGGCCUCUGGCCUCCAUCGCUGUAUGGUCUGGGUUCUCUUCUCUGCCCAGUGUUUGCAGCACUGCCUCUGCCCCUUAUGUACCCCUGCUUUCCUCACUUUCAGGCUUCCAUGCUUCUCUGUGACAUCCCCCAAAAACAGGCAGAGUCUAAGAUGUGCAUGUACCCACUCAAGCCUCAAGCUUGUAUCUGUAUCCAUAUCCAGGGACAUGAACAAGAACUGAGGUAGCCAUUGGUUUAACUUAGAGCACUCUCAAAGUUCAGAUCAGCGUUAUGUGUGUGCAUGAGUGUGGUGGGGAGAUUUUCCCCUAGGACAAAGAGACUUUCCCUCCCAUUUUUGCCAUUGUGCUAGUUAAAAAAGAAAAAAGAAAAAAAAAUGAGCCCGGAGCUGGAACUAGAAACUUUCUGUCAGUGUAACAUCUGCGCCCAAUGGUGGUUGGGCUUCGGGUCACGUGACACCUUCUUUGUGGCUCCGGAAGAGGAUUGUGAAGUUUAGGUUUCGUGGAAGAAACCGAUAAUUGAGGAAAAAAAAAAAUCAAGAUUUGGGGGGAAUUACCUACAAAGAUGUAAGGUGUGUUAAUUUGGGCGCUUCUUGGAUUCUACCCUGAGGAGGAGGCGCGUGGUGAGAGGAGAGGUCUUGAUCUGCCGCUCGCUGAGGUUCAGCAGGUUGGCCAUCUCUACACGGCGAGGCCGGCACAGGUAGCGGUUAAAAUGGAACUCCUUCUCCAGCUCCACCAGCUGCGCGCUCGUGUACGCCGUCCGCGCCCGCUUGGACGCCGCCGACCCCGGGGGGCUCUUGUCCCCUCCCCCGCCGCCGCCGCCACCGCCCCCGCUGCCACCACUGCCUCCGCCGCCGCCGCCACCGCCGCCGCCACCACAGCCCUCUGCUGGAUCCGAGGGGGAGGGGUGGGAAGGGGAGAAAAUGAAAUAAAAGAUAAUUACUGAACACGCCGAA
rnacentral:lncRNA from 10 species